AAAUAAAAUAAGUUUUCUUUCAAACUUGUGAAAUUUGUUCUUUCAAAAUAUUUUGACAAAUCAAAAGCAAGAAAGUAAUUAGUUGUUGAUAUGCUGGUCUUGCUUGAAGCUAAAAGAACUGAUAAUACCGUAGUACACAUGGGCCCGUUUCAACUGUCGAUUCCAGUGUCGAAAAAGUGGUGAACUAUACAAAGCUAAUGAAUUUGAGUGCAAUUCUGACAAUAAUUCGGAUUGGAUUUAUUUAAUUUUUAUUUCUGUACUGAUCCUUAGUUAAAAGGCCCAUGAGGCCGACGACAAAAUUUUUUUAAGGCCGGGCACAGGCUAAGGCUAUUGAGGAUUGGCGGCCUCUUCGGCUUUAUCUUAUUGGGUUUUCUAUUAAAUGCCGCAAAAUUUAUGUUUCAAAUUUAUAUUGCAAUAAUUUGACCAAGAGUGGAUUGGGAUUGCGUCAAAGCUAAGCGCAGUUUUAAUCCAACAUAAUCAAUUUUGAGAUUAAAAGUGGCUUGUUCUACUUAUUGGAGAAAAAGAAUCGUCAAUAAAAUAAGCUUCAAUUUGAUAUAAACCAAGCAAUGAUUUGGGUUUAAACAGAUAAUUCAAAAAAAAAAAAAAAAAAGAUAUACAACUAAACUAAGUGCAGCUCAGCAUAGCAUUUCUUGUAGAGAAUAUGCGAAAAACAAGAAGAUCAUAUAUCUAUGCACAUUCAUUUGAUAUAGUUUUUACAUAGAAGAUUAUAAAAUCGUGCCUGUUAUUGAACAAGCUCUAUAAUAUUCAUUAUAAAUAGUAUUUAUUAUUGGAAUUAAUGAACACUUUAUCUAUAAAAUAUGAUUGAUGGUCCUAUUAUCCGAUCAGUGGAUAGGAGCUUUGCACUCUAAUAAACAAGGGGAAGAAGAAGGGCAACACCUCUAGACGACCCAUAAAUAAUUUGAGCUCAACCCACAAAAGAUUUUUAAUAAGAUUUUUCUUAUAAAUAAAAAUCUUCUUAGAAUACUAGUAUAUAAUUGUAUUAUUUUAUUGUAUGAGUGAUAUAGUAAUUCAUUAAUAGAUAUUUUCAUUAUGAUCAAAACGAGAGAGAUGAGGGGGGGAUAUAAUCUAUUUUAGAUGAAUUGUGAUAAAAUCCAAGUAUUCAUUUUUUUUACUAUUGAUUCCACGCACAUUAUCUAACAAUUAGACAGGGAAAAAUGGUUACAUCCAUAAUUUCCUCAAUAUCCCAAUUCAAUGAAUUCCAGCAAUGAAAUAAAAAAGAACAAAACGAGGGUGAUAA